CAUCAGUCACAAUCGCAAGAGCACGCGGAAAAAGGAAAGCAGAGGUUUUUAUUCCUAACGCAAUCCCUACCUCUGGCAUGGGCUGGGGCCAGACCUCAAGAUCUAAACCGACCCGGUUGGCUAUUUGUGAAUAUUUUCCCAAAUAAGGAAGGGGGAAGGGGGAUGUGAGUUACAACGGUGGGACGUGUGGUUUGGAAGGGAGACAUGGGUGCAGAGCAGGUAACCAAGGGAACAGAUGUGAGUGAUUGAUUAGAACUGACGGGAAGGUUGUUUACAGUAACUAAGGGCAAGCAGGCAUGGAGAACAAGAAAGUUGAGUUCCAGAACAAAAAACAAGAAUGUUAACAUGCCAAACCUUGGAAGAGAAACUGACUGUAUCUGACAGUUUUAUACAUUUUAGGGAGACAGGAGACAUCAAUCAACAUAUGUAAGAUGAACACUGGUUUGAUCCGGUACAAUCUGAAGCAAAAGUGGGUCAACUUGAAGCCAGGAGGCGGCUUCCAGGUCACAGAAACGGGGGUCUCCCUCGGUUGCCCAGGCUGGUCUCUCUCCGUAAUUUCUACAAAUAAUCCAGUGAAGGAACACCAGAGCGUGGAAAGCGGAGGACGACGGACAAAGGACUCCCCAGCAGGUUUUCACUUCAAGCUCUAGGUGUAACAGCUCAGCGGCAUGCUGCAGGUGCUCGGGGAGAUAACACUCCGUCGAAGUGGAGUAUAAUCAAACAUCUUGGCUCCUCCUGAAACCCGCUCCCACCCAUUUCAGUCCCGAUCUUAAGUUAAAGAUCUUCAGUAGUUUAAAGGUAAAGAUCUUAAGUAGACACACGCCUUUGCUCAAGGAAAAUUCGCAGAAACCGCCACUGCUAUACACCUUGUCGAACGACUCGCGAGUUCUCCUUCACUAAUUCAUCCUUUUCCGCAUCCCUUCUUACCACUCCCAUUUGCCCUAAGCACAAAGAGCUUGUAAACCAAUAAAUUGGGUGGAGGCCUAGAGCUCCGGGCCC